GCCGUGGGCGUAAGAAGAUUGAAGAGAUUUGACCCUAGUACGAGAGGACCGGGUUGAACAAACCACUGGUGUAGCUGUUGUUCUGCCAAGAGCAUCGCAGCGUAGCUAAGUUUGGAAAGGAUAAACGCUGAAAGCAUCUAAGCGUGAAGCCAACUCUAAGAUGAAUCUUCUCUAAGCUCUCUAGAAGACUACUAGUUUGAUAGGCUGGGUGUGUAAUGGAUGAAAGUCCUUUAGCUGACCAGUACUAAUAGAGCGUUUGGCUUAUCUUU
rnacentral:rRNA from 1 species